rnacentral:lncRNA from 1 species
AAAAUCUACAGCAGGCAGUGGGGAACUUCUUCCUCUUGUUCCCUAGCUUCUUGCCCAACUGUGACAUGCAUUUACAAUACAUUUAGUCUUGUAUCAAGGGCUAUAAUCUACGUGCCAAUUAUAACAUAGGGAACUUUAAUUGAUUCAACUCCCAUGUUCCCUAAAUCUUUUCUUUUCUUUCUUCUUUUCCUUUUUAAUUAAUUAACUCACCAUUUAUGUGUAUUAGGGACUCCUUUGCAUGAGUACAAGGUCCUUUUAGCUUGAUCUAUGCUUAAUACUCUAUUAUAGCAUGAAAUCCCCUAUUUUCCACCCGGAUGAACAGUAACCCGAACUGACAGUGGGUUACUUCAUCCCAGUUUUGAUCCACUUUCAGGACUCCAAAUUUGAUGAAAUUUUUACCUAACAUUCUACACUCACAGAGGAUUCCAAAUAGAUAACAUGCAUCAUCAUCGGAGGCCGUUUGACCCCCUAAAUAAUUUGCCAAAGUUGGGACUUCGACACAGUUUUUCCGUAGUGCCGGAAAAAUUUGUCAAAAUCCGAUUCUUUUUCUUUUAACCACCUCUACAACCCUUAUCCGACCCCUCUAGACUAUAUCCACCCUUUGUAUAGCCUAAUGUCAUCAAAAGUCUAGAUAGGGAUGGAUAUUUACCUUUUUCUUUUUGGAAAUCGAGGUCCUUGCGUAGAGGGGAAGGAGAUCUGCGUUUUUCCUUCAGCUAGAAGUGCAACCGGGAUCUCCUUCCUCUUCCUUUCUUCCUUUCCUUUCCUCUCCUUCUUUUUCUUCCUCUCUGUCCGUCUGAGACUCCCCUGUGACUCUCUCUCGGUUUCCAUCCAAAAGCCAC